UUUGCGGUGUGGGAUGGGCCCGCGGCCUAUCAGCUUGUUGGUGAGGUUACGGCUCACCAAGGCGACGACGGGUAGCCGGCCUGAGAGGGUGUCCGGCCACACUGGGACUGAGAUACGGCCCAGACUCCUACGGGAGGCAGCAGUGGGGAAUAUUGCACAAUGGGCGCAAGCCUGAUGCAGCGACGCCGCGUGAGGGAUGACGGCCUUCGGGUUGUAAACCUCUUUCGCCAGGGACGAAGCGCAAGUGACGGUACCUGGAGAAGAAGCACCGGCCAAUUACGUGCCAGCAGCCGCGGUAAUACGUAGGGUGCGAGCGUUGUCCGGAAUUACUGGGCGUAAAGAGCUCGUAGGUGGUUUGUCGCGUUGUUCGA
rnacentral:rRNA from 1 species